CAUCUUCUCAACAAACUCACACAAACAAAACCCCUCUGCCUUUCUCUCUCUCGAUUACAUCUAAGAAACACAGAGAAAUUCCUUUCUUCAUAAACAAAACUCAACACCAGACAUACAAACACAAAAAAGUCACCUUCUCCUUGAAGAACCCUAAACAUACUACAUGAUUUAUGUAUGAAUCUUUAGAUGAAAGCUGAUCCUUUACACCAGAUUUUCAAAACCCUAAGAACACACACAUACUCCCCCAUACCCUGUUACUCUCUCAUCUCUCUCUCCCUCAAGAAUCUCCGGCCGGCGACACCGGCGGAGCUCCGACAGAGCCGGCGAAGGGCGUCGGUAGCCAGCGGCUGCUGGCGGUGGUUCUUGGCAGCAGCGCCGCCACUACGACGGCGGUGAUGGAGGAAUCGGCAGUGGUUGACGGUGGCGACGGAAGAAGUGGUGGUGGUGGUGAUACAGGGGUUUGCUGAUGUUGAAUCGGAGUCUAAGUCCGGCGGUCGGCGUCAAGGACCGGCGGUCCUUGUCAUUAUCCGAAAGAUUCCCGUGUUGAACAGUUGCUGUUGCUGAUGAUAUUCUUGCUCGGGAACCGGGUUUCAAUUUCGGGUCACUCGCGGGUGUUCGGGUCAGCAUCGGGUUCGAGUUUUGGUUCGGUUCGGUUCGGGUCGGGUCGCAGGUUCGGGUCAACGGUCAGCGGGUCAGACCCGGUGUGGUUCGGGUUCAGGUCAGCGUGUUCGAGUCAGGCAGUCAACAAGGUCAGACGGUUCGGUCAACUCGGUCAAACCGAGUCAACUUGGUCAAACCUGGUCAACUCAGCGAGUCAACUCGGUCAACCCGGUUGACUCGGUCAACUCAGUCAGCUUACUCGGCAUUUCGACGUGAAGACUUUGUAAAAAUUAAUGACGCGUUUAAUAUUUGUGUUUUUAUAUAGACUUAAUCUUACGUGACAAACGAGCUCAAACCGGUUGACUUAUACUUUACGUUUGAUAUAUAUUUGACAAAAUUAUAUA